AACGUAGGGCGCAAGCGUUGUCCGGAAUUAUUGGGCGUAAAGAGCUCGUAGGCGGUUUGUCGCGUCUGCUGUGAAAGACCGGGGCUCAACUCCGGUUCUGCAGUGGGUACGGGCAGACUAGAGUGAUGUAGGGGAGACUGGAAUUCCUGGUGUAGCGGUGAAAUGCGCAGAUAUCAGGAGGAACACCGGUGGCGAAGGCGGGUCUCUGGGCCGAUACUGACGCUGAGGAGCGAAAGCGUGGGGAGCAAACGGG
rnacentral:rRNA from 1 species